GAUGAACGCUGGCGGCGUGCCUAAUACAUGCAAGUCGAGCGAACAGACGAGGAGCUUGCUCCUCUGACGUUAGCGGCUGACGGGUGAGUAACACGUGGAUAACCUACCUAUAAUACUGGGAUAACUUCGGGAAACCGGAGCUAAUACCGGAUAAUAUAUUGAACCGCAUGGUUCAAUAGUGAAAGACGGUUUUGCUGUCACUUAUAGAUUGAUCCGCGCCGCAUUAGCUAGUUGGUAAGGUAACGGCUUACCAAGGCAACGAUGCGUAGCCGACCUGAGAGGGUGAUCGGCCACACUGGAACUGAGACACGGUCAAGACUCCUACGGGAGGCAGCAGUAGGGAAUAUUCCGCAAUGGGAGAAAGCCUGACGGAGCAACGCCGCGUGAGUGAUGAAGGUCUUCGGAUCGUAAAACUCUGUUAUUAGGGAAGAACAAAUGUGUAAGUAACUAUGCACGUAUUGACGGUACCUAAUCAGAAAGCCACGGCUAACUACGUG
rnacentral:rRNA from 1 species